GACGAACGCUGGCGGCGUGCUUAACACAUGCAAGUCGAACGGAAAGUCCCUUCUUUUGUGGUGUGCUCGAGUGGCGAACGUGUGAGUAACACGUGAGUAACCUGCCCUUGACUUUGGGAUAACUUCAGGUAACUGGGGCUAAUACCCGAUAUGAGCUCCUGCUGCAUGGUGGGGGUUGGAAAGUUUCGGCGGUUGGGGAUGUACUCGCGGGUUAUCAGCUUUUUGGUGUGGUAGUUGCUUACCAAGGCUUUGACGGGUAGCCGGAAUGAGAGGGUGACCGGCAACAUGGGGACUGAGAGACGGCCCAGACUCAUACGGGAGGAAGCAGGGGGGAAUAUUGCACAAUGGGCGGAAGCCUGAUGAAGAAACGCGGCGUGCGGGAUGACGGCCUUCGGGUUGUAAAAAGAAUUAGAAUGUGAAGAAGCGGGAGUGACGGUAAUGGGUAAAGAAGCAACGGCUAACUACGUG
rnacentral:rRNA from 1 species